GCGACCCCAGUCAGCGG
rnacentral:rRNA from 1 species